rnacentral:lncRNA from 1 species
AUGGGGCUGUGUCCCCUUGUGCUGGUCCCCAUGUCUUCCCCACGCUCUGCGACUCGCUCCCAGAAUUCCAGCCAUGGCCCGUGCUGUGUCCUCCAGGCGUCUCGUUAUGGUGUUCUCAGUAAUGUCAGGUUUAAUUUUUCUGUCACCAACAGCCUACGUGCGACCCGAGAUGAGCCCCUUCUGCUGUUCCGCACUCCUCAGCGUCCGUGGCCAGAGACUGUCUGCUCUCCCCUCCGCAGGAUAAAAAGGAGAUCUGAGCUCUGCUCCCUAAUCAGCUGUUGUAAUGAAGCGGACGCCUCAGUCUACGGUUCCGAGGUCCCUGCUGCUUCCAGCCUCAGGAGGGCAGAGGUCAGUGGCCCCGCAGCCCCCAACACCUUUCCAGGACCAGUCUGUGCCUCUACAAAUAACAGGGGCGCUACCGAGGGCUCACCAAACUGGAAAGUUCUGCAAGUCUGUGAAUGCUGGAGCCCAUGUUGGAGUGUGGGAACCCCGGGGGUUUCGAUCCCGUCUUCCCGGCGAGCCCUCAAAGCUGGCGACCAGGUUUGCUCAUCCUGAGAUUAAUGGGCCCUCCCUCCAGCUCCCAGCCCAGUGCUUUAUACAGCUUGAUAAACGCAUGCUGAGGACUUGGUCCCCGGGGCAGUUCACGUCCUGCAGAAGGUCGUUGCUGAGGUGGGUUUGGGGCGUCCCGGGAUUCACUGUAGGUAAAGCCCGUGAGGGAGAGGAGGCAGGAGCAUCAGGGAGAGACAGUCUUCGACCCCAGUGAGCUUCCGGCAAAGUCUCGGCCAGCCCAGUGGAGAACUCCAGAGCAAAGAUUGCUUGCUGAGGACACGUGCUAAGGAC